GGGUUGUGAGGUUAAGCGACUAAGCGUACACGGUGGAUGCCCUGGCAGUCAGAGGCGAUGAAGGACGUGCUAAUCUGCGAUAAGCGUCGGUAAGGUGAUAUGAACCGUUAUAACCGGCGAUUUCC
rnacentral:rRNA from 1 species